AACACACUCAUUUAAACAAAAAAACGCCCCGAGGAGCUCAAGAACCCUAGAAAUCGCCCCCAGAAGAAUCCACCGGUGUGUUCCUCAAUUCCGUCCCGGUUUAGGCGCUCCAAGAGUUAUAAACCCUCGAUCCCGUCCCUACUUCUUCAGUCCCGACGUGUCUUCUGUACAUCUUGCUAGUCGCUGCUCUGUUGUGGAGGCUCGAAGCUCUAGCUUAAUCAGUGGAUUGGGAGCUUAUUUUUUGACUUGGUAAACUUUGAUUGGUGUAUACAUGGUGUAUUUGCUUGUUUUUUGGGUUAAUAUUAUGCUAUUAUGUAUAUAUGAAGGUUCUUGAUUUUGGUGUUCUUGUAUAUAUAUGAGGGCUACUGAUAUUAACCACUUUGCUUGUAAUUUAUCUCUUAUGAUUUAAUUGAUUUGGUGUGCUUAUGGUUUGCUUAUCAUUUUUUGAAUUGGUUUGCUUGGCUUGCUUGUGAUUUGUAUUACUUGUGGUAUUUUCUUUUGGUUUUGAAUGAACCAUAUUUUGGGCUGAGUGAAGAGCAGGUGCCUGUUAUUGUCAUACAGAGUAGUGAUAGUCAGAAAUAUCUCAAGCCAAAUGUUGAGGCUGAUUAAAUUGCACGUUGAAGAAAUACACCGUAUAUUCUUGUUUUUUAGUUACAUGUUAUACUAAUUACUGUAUAGGGCGUAAUUGUCAUCUUUAUGAUGUGAUUAUGAUAUAUGUGUCGCUGAUUGGAAUGUCUUUGUCAACUAUAUAUACACCAACCUUUUAGGAUGGAAAACUGAAGCCAUUUAUAAAGUUGGAACCUGCCCUGAAGUUAACAAUGAACCCUAAAGGUGGUUGUUCGUACAGUAUUCAAGAUAUGGUUUUCAACUCUGGAAAGAAUGAUCUUAUGUUACCAGGAUAAUGGGCACUUAGAAGGUUGCACAAGUAGCAAUGGAAAAUCAUCUUUCAGUCCUCAUGUUCAGAAUACAUUGAGGCAAGAGAUACUGCAACUUGAAAAAAGAUUGCUGGACCAAGUUGCAGUCCAUGGUGUGCUUCUUAAAUAUCGUUCUUAUCAAGAGUAAUCUUAAAACAAUUCCGACGACUGAACUGAUAAAAGACAUCUCAGAGUUAAGGCUACUUCUAACGAUUGCUUUUUUCCAAGUCUGAAAAUUUUUAUGAUGAUUGCCAAGAAAGAGAGUUCACCAGAAUUGCCGCAAGUAUCAUCAUCAAUUCAUUCGGCCACUGGUUUAUAUGGGGAUCAGGAUCCACUCUGCAGGAAAGGGACCAGCUCUGUCGAUUUCAAGCUUCUUUAAGUUCUCGCACACAGUCCCGUUGUAUCGUCUGUUUGGAAAAUAACAGCUUCAAGGUAGUAAGAUCGAGAACAAAGUUGCAGUUUUGUAUGCCAGAGGAUGAUAGAUUCAUUAAACAUCGAGCUGAGGAUGAGUAAUAGUUUAUUCAAAUUGCACACCGACUACUUUUCUAGAUAUGUGUUUUUUUGAGUUUCAGUUGAAUAUGGAAUUAAUGGAUGUGUAGUAGGUGAGAUUGGAAUUUGAUGGAUGUAUAGAUUACAAUUGAUUUAUAUAUGCAUUGAUAAGAUUAUUAAUAA